rnacentral:sRNA from 1 species
GGGCGUCCAAGCUGAGGGCCGUCCGGCGGGGAGGUCCCAGGCCCUGGUGUUCAGAUGCUCCUCCUGCCCCAGGUCCCCUGGGAAACUGUCCACUCCGCACCCUAAGCCUUUCCCCAAGAUGCAUGUUAGCCAGCGGGCGCGCCACCCAUCCCCCUGCUUCUGCCCACUGGGGCUGGCAGGAGCAGGCACUGGUUCAGGAACUGCAGCAAGCACUCCAGCCUCUGUGCCGGGCACAAGCAGGGUCUAGGAAGGAGGCCAAAUCGGUGUUCGGAUCACACUGACGGCGGCUGCGGGCGUCGGAGUCGUCAUUCCUCGGUCCAGGACUUGCGUGGGUGGCGUGGUGGGGGGAGCUGGCCGGCCAGUCCUCAGCCCUGCGCCCCGUGCACCCUGCGGGGCCUCCGAGGCCCGGUUCCCGCUCGGCACAAGGCGCGGGGCGUUGCUCCGAGGGAUGCGGGGCACUGACCGGCCACGCAUGGCCUGCAGCUGAGGGUGAAUCAGGACGAGCCCACGGAUGACGACGCCCCUCGGGCCGGGAACAGCGGAGCGGAGGACGGCGGGGCGGAGGCGCAGAGCAGCAAGGACCAGAUGCGGACCAACGUCAUCAACGAGAUCCUCAGCACUGAGCGGGACUACAUCAAGCACCUGCGCGACAUCUGCGAGGUGAGGCCCGGCCGGCGGGCGGUGACUGGGGACCCGGUCGGGGGAGGCCUAACCACGUCCGCCCGCAGGGCUACGUCCGGCAGUGCCGCAAGCGCGCAGACAUGUUCAGCGAGGAGCAGCUGCGUACCAUCUUCGGGAACAUCGAGGACAUCUACCGCUGCCAGAAGGCCUUCGUGAAGGCCCUGGAGCAGAGGUUCAACCGCGAGCGCCCACACCUGAGCGAGCUGGGUGCCUGCUUCCUGGAGCAUCAAGCCGACUUCCAGAUCUACUCGGAGUACUGCAAUAACCACCCCAACGCCUGCGUGGAGCUCUCCCGGCUCACCAAGCUCAGCAAGUACGUGUACUUCUUCGAGGCCUGCCGGCUGCUGCAGAAGAUGAUUGACAUCUCCCUGGAUGGCUUCCUGCUGACUCCGGUGCAGAAGAUCUGCAAGUACCCUCUGCAGCUGGCCGAGCUGCUCAAAUACACGCACCCCCAGCACAGGUAGGAGGGCACUGAGGCAGGGAGGCAGCCCACGCCUCUGCAUGCCUCCAGUCAGCCAGUUUGAGCAUUAGCAGUGUGCUGGGCACUGCUGCAGGCCCUGGGGCAACACACAGAAAACUAGCCCUGUCCUGAUGAGCUCCUUGCAAUGGGGGAAGAGGAUGCCAACAGGAUAUUAAGCUCUGCUCUGUGCUUGCCAUUUAUGGAGAAGAGAGGGGCUGUGCAUCUGAUAGUGAGGAUGUGGUCAAAGGGCACAGCCCCAGAGGAAAGCAGCUCCACACGUGGGGGCUGCAGGGGAUCCUCACCCUUUCUCUGUCUCCAGCCUGCAGCAGCCUUCCAUCUCUGUUCUGCCCCAGGGACUUCAAGGAUGUUGAAGCCGCCUUGCAUGCCAUGAAGAACGUGGCCCAGCUCAUCAACGAGCGGAAGCGGAGACUUGAGAACAUCGACAAGAUUGCUCAGUGGCAGAGCUCCAUAGAGGACUGGGAGGGAGAAGAUCUCUUGGUCAGGAGCUCAGAACUCAUCUACUCCGGGGAGCUGACUCGAGUUACACAGCCUCAAGCCAAAAGCCAGCAGCGAAUGUUCUUUCUCUUUGACCACCAGCUCAUCUACUGUAAGAAGGACCUGCUCCGCCGCGACGUGUUGUACUACAAGGGCCGGCUGGACAUGGACGGCCUGGAGGUGGUGGACCUGGAGGACGGGAAGGACAGAGACCUCCAUGUGAGCAUCAAGAACGCCUUCCGGCUGCACUGUGGCGCCACAGGGGACAGCCACCUGCUGUGCACCAGGAAGCCCGAGCAGAAGCAGCGCUGGCUCAAGGCCUUUGCCAGGGAGAGGGAGCAGGUGCAGCUGGACCAGGAGACAGGCUUCUCCAUCACUGAACUGCAGAGGAAGCAGGCCAUGCUGAAUGCCAGCAAGCAGCAGGUCACAGGGAAGCCCAAAGCUGUUGGCCGGCCCUGCUACCUGACGCGCCAGAAGCACCCAGCCCUGCCCAGCAGCCGGCCCCAGCAGCAGGUCCUGGUGCUGGCGGAGCCCAGGCGCAAGCCAUCUACCUUCUGGCACAGCAUCAGCCGGCUGGCACCCUUCCGCAAGUGAACUGGUCCCUACCUGACAGCACCUGCUGGGCCUUCCUGCCAGUGGCCCCCAGUUUUUCUUCCCCGAGGCCCACUCGGCCUGGCCUUCCUCUGCCUGCAAGUGAGCAGGGAUGGGCUGGGGAGUUGCUUGUGCCACCAAGACGUGCCAGGUCUGUACUCCUGUUGUCUUUUUCCCUGCUCCUGGUGCCCUGAAGAGACCAGCAAGGGGGCAGACCCCGCACUUGCCACACCCCCGCUGCAGCUUGGGCCCCAUCCGCCCUCUGGACCUGUGUAGGGCCUCACUGCUGGAGCGGGGAAACCGCAGCUCAGCCCAGGCCCAGCUGGGGAGAAGGCGCUACCUGCGUGGGACCCUCUUCUCUGGAAACCUAAUCCUCCUUUCAUUUCCUCUGGGCAGGACUCUCUGGCCUUCUGUGGCCUGCAAUGCCAGGCCAUGUGCCCCUCUGCCCUCUAGUUCUCCAAGUCCCCAGCCCGGCCAGUGGUGCCAGGCAGCUUGCCACUUGGGAGGGCAGAAACCAGGAAUUCCACACCCUUGUGUUGCGCCCGGAGCCCGCCCUUCGCCUCCCAGCCCCUCUAGACACCGCUGGCUGCUGGACACCCUCUUCACUUGUGUGUGUGUGUGUAGCGGAAAAGGACAAGACGGUGCAGUCGGCUGCAUACUCCCAGUCGGGAGUGUGGUCAGUCUGCCUGCUGCUGUGCGGUAGCUCCAGAACCACCUCGUUCCUGGUUUUGUUUGGAUUUUGGCAUCUUGUUUUUCUAACAAACAAACAAACAAACAAUGGAGAAAAAGAACUGAUUCUUAGUGACACAGAAGAUUGCCUUACGCUCGUGAGCGUGAGAAGCCAUAAGAGACCGAAUUCUGUGGCUCAGCACACAGGACUGACCCACAGCCCAGGCAGCGGGUGUGUGGAGAUGGCGCCCCGUCCUGCCAAGGGGCGCCAGGAGCAAAGCCUGGGCCUGGCGAGCUGGCGUGGAGCCCACAGGAUUCAGCAGCAUGGACAGUCACUCUUGCACUAUUCCUUCUCCAAGCCAGAAACCACAUUUAAUUUCAUAAAUAAAUUUAUGAAAAGUAA